AACGAACGCUGGCGGCAGGCCUAACACAUGCAAGUCGAACGCCGUAGCAAUACGGAGUGGCAGACGGGUGAGUAACACGUGGGAACGUACCCUUCGGUUCGGGAUAACUCAGGGAAACUUGAGCUAAUACCGGAUACGUCCGAGAGGAGAAAGAUUUAUUGCCGAGGGAUCGGCCCGCGUCUGAUUAGCUUGUUGGUGAGGUAACGGCUCACCAAGGCGACGAUCAGUAGCUGGUCNGAGAGGAUGAUCAGCCACAUUGGGACUGAGACACGGCCCAAACUCCUACGGGAGGCAGCAGUGGGGAAUAUUGGACAAUGGGCGCAAGCCUGAUCCAGCCAUGCCGCGUGAGU
rnacentral:rRNA from 1 species